UACAGAGGUCUCAAGCGUUGUUCGGAUUCAUUGGGCGUAAAGGGCGCGUAGGCGGCAAGGCAAGUCGGGUGUGAAAGCUUGGGGCUUAACCCCGAAAGGGCACUCGAAACUGCAUUGCUAGAGGGCCGGAGAGGAGAUCGGAAUUCACGGUGUAGCAGUGAAAUGCGUAGAGCUCGUGAGGAAGACCAGUGGCGAAGGCGGAUCUCUGGACGGCCCCUGACGCUGAGGCGCGAAGGCUAGGGGAGCAAACGGG
rnacentral:rRNA from 1 species